rnacentral:rRNA from 1 species
CCCGCUGAACUUAAGCAUAUCAAUAAGCGGAGGAAAAGAAACUAACAAGGAUUCCCUUAGUAACUGCGAGUGAAGUGGGAAAAGCUCAAAUUUAGAAUCUGGCAGUCACUUGGCUGUCCGAGUUGUAAUCUAGAGAAGUGCUACCUGUGCUGGACCGUGUACAAGUCUCCUGGAAUGGAGCAUCACAGAGGGUGAGAAUCCCGUCUUUGACACGGACUGCCAUGUGCGAUAUGGUGCGCUCUCGAAGAGUCGAGUUGUUUGGGAAUGCAGCUCAAAACGGGUGGUAAAUGCCAUCUAAAGCUAAAUAUUGGCGAGAGACCGAUAGCGAACAAGUACCGUGAGGGAAAGAUGAAAAGAACUUUGGAAAGAGAGUUAAACAGUACGUGAAAUUGCUGAAAGGGAAACGCUUGAAGUCAGUCGCGUCGGCUGGAAAUCAGUCUUGCUUCUGCUUGACGUACUUUCUGGUUCGACGGGUCAGCAUCAGUUUUGACCGCCGGAUAAAGUCGUUGGGAAUGUGGCAUCUUCAUGAUGUGUUAUAGCCCGUCGUCGCAUACGGUGGUCGGGAUUGAGGAACUCAGCACGCCGCAAGGCCGGGUCGUUUCGACCACGUUCGUGCUUAGGAUGCUGGCAUAAUGGCUUUAAUCGACCCGUCUUGAAACACGG